AGAGAGAGAUAUCGGGGACGUAGGUCGGGGUGUCUUGUAAGGAUCCGACGGCGUGUGGGUAAUCCGCCUCUACCAUCAAACCUACAGUGGUUCCUCCUUUAAAAUGAAGUCAAAGCGGACACCUAUGAAGACGGCAUCUCAGGUAAGCAGCACUGGGCUGUAUUGACGUAUCCUAAAGACGGCAUCUCAGGUAAGCAGCACUGGGCUGUAUUGACGUAUCCUAAAGACGGCAUCUCAGGUAAGCAGCACUGGGCUGUAUUGACGUAUCCUAAAGAUGGCAUCUCAGGUAAGCAGCACUGGGCUGUAUUGACGUAUCCUAAAGAUGGCAUCUCAGGUAAGCAGCACUGGGCUGUAUUGACGUAUCCUAAAGAUGGCAUCUCAGGUAAGCAGCACUGGGCUGUAUUGACGUAUCCUAAAGAUGGCAUCUCAGGUAAGCAGCACUGGGCUGUAUUGACGUAUCCUAAAGACGGCAUCUCAGGUAAGCAGCACUGGGCUGUAUUGACGUAUCCUAAAGAUGGCAUCUCAGGUAAGCAGCACUGGGCUGUAUUGACGUAUCCUAAAGAUGGCAUCUCAGGUAAGCAGCACUGGGCUGUAUUGACGUAUCCUAAAGAUGGCAUCUCAGGUAAGCAGCACUGGGCUGUAUUGACGUAUCCUAAAGAUGGCAUCUCAGGUAAGCAGCACUGGGCUGUAUUGACGUAUCCUAAAGAUGGCAUCUCAGGUAAGCAGCACUGGGCUGUAUUGACGUAUCCUAAAGACGGCAUCUGCUGCUUUAGAUUGAACGGUCAUAUCUCAGUUAUUGUUUUCAUGUCUAUAAAAAAUAAGCUGUUUUCUUUACUUUCAGAGAGCGAGCUGACCUAGGGGUCGAAAUGUAGAUAUUGCCAGAUGUUCACUGUCCGAGGAACAGGCCAUGGAAGCUUUAUCGCUGGCAAAAGUGUCUAUAACCAGAGCUAAUUAAACUGUCCUGUGUUCUUUUUCUCAAUAUCUGCCUGUCUUGUUGUACAUGGAACCUGUCUCACAUUCAUUAAAAAACCCUUAAGAUGUCAGCUGCUAAUUUUCAGAGUUACACCACAUAAACACAGCCAUUUUCACUCGUCUUUCUGUUGCUGCCAAGUCAUGAUUUCCCUGGGGGUUAGCCUUGCAAUAACCAAGUGGUGAGACACAUAGCCCUCUAUAUUUAAACGCUUCAGGUACCCUCUGAUAGGUGUCUGCGUCACAUACAGUAUCUUAUAUUGAUAUGAUCUUCUAUUGUUUGUCCUUGUGUGUCUGUUUUUCAGCAUAAAAUACUCUGUAGCCACUUAGUGUGGACACCAGGUAAGACCACACACACACACAAAAACAGUCUCUUCUUCACUCCAUCCCUCUACCCCUUCUCCCUAAAUCCUCUAGGUUAUAUCAGUUGUUUUGGUGAACCCUUCCCCGCAUCUGAACAGGCUGACACAGAGGGCACAGCAUGAUCAUAGGUGAGAUGUCACUUGGUCGGGUCAACAGGAAGUAUUAUUAAAGAGAUGCUUUACAUUGAAAUACAGACAGAGCGGUAGUAGUCCCAGAGUUAAUGAUCCAAGGUCAGUUUUGCAUUUCACCUCCUGAUUUAAGAUGACUGACCGUGUUAGAUUUUUCAAAACUUUUAAACAAGGCUUAAUCAUGCUCUCUCAUCUGCAGGUAUGUUUUGAUGUGAGAGUGGAAGCCAGUCCCGUCAUCGCCAGUUCACCCGCUCUUAAGAUAACCUUCGGACCAACUGGGGGCCCAAGGCUGGUUAGGAGACACCGCAAUUGUGAUGAACUGAGAGAAUAUUAGGGUAGUACUGUAAUUCAUGAAUCAUAUGUUGUCUGCCGCUGUUCUGACCUCUUUCCCUUUCUGUCUUCUACACCUCUCUCCCCACCUCGUCUUUCUUCCUCGUUUUAUAAUGCACACAUUAUAUUGUAUUUAUAAUGUUACAAUUAUCAUAGUUAUAAUGCAUUUAUAACACCUGGAUAAUGAACGUCUUUCAAUAAAGCGUUUCACAUUCUCCACUCCACUUAAGUAUCUCAUUGAAAUACUAUCCUGUGUCCUCAGAUUAAUGCAGAUGAAGGGAGUUAGAUAUGCAUAGUUUUUCCUGUAUAUAUGAAUUACAAAUCAAUCAUGUUUCUAGUCUAUUGCAUAGUUACAAUGUGUAAUCAUUGAUGUCCCAGGAGCUGGGGUAGUAAACACUGUUGAAGUGUAUAAUUGUAAUACAUACAUGCAGACACAGCAUCAUUUAAAUAAUGGAGUAUGAUAUGGCUGAAAAAGAAGUCUCAGAGAUUCAUUCCUGAACCGCCAAGGAAGUGUACAUCAGUGAAUAUAUUCAAUGUACAGGCUACAAUGUGGGAAUCUCAUGCGUGGUAAUAGCGACAGUACAUGUGUAUAUAGGACUUACUCCUUGGCACAAUAAAGUUAUUGUAUUCUA